rnacentral:rRNA from 1 species
UACGUAGGGGGCGAGCGUUGUCCGGAUUUAUUGGGCGUAAAGGGUGCGUAGGCGGCUUUGUAAGUCAGAUGUGAAAGAUCACGGCUUAACCGUGGUAAGCAUUUGAAACUGCAAGGCUUGAGUUAAGGAGAGGAGAGUGGAAUUCCUAGUGUAGCGGUGAAAUGCGUAGAUAUUAGGAGGAAUACCAGUGGCGAAGGCGACUCUCUGGACUUAUACUGACGCUGAGGCACGAAAGCGUGGGGAGCAAACA